UAGAAAAUUUUGAGCCGGCCCUGUGUGUGCGUGUAUACGAUCAGGAGAAAGCUCCCAUGGAGCAAACCCUAGUUCUUCAACAUAAUCUUCAAAUUGGAGGAUCAAUUGAAGGUCAAAUUCGGAUUUGAAUACAUAGAAACGAUCACCAAGUCGAGGGGAUCGUAAGUUUGACGCUUGACGAGCUAGGUGAAAGCUUGGGAAGGAAGCGGGUCAAACGAAUCAGGAAUGAAGGAAAAACAUAAUCCGGAUGCAAGGUUUAAUAUGCGGUGCCGGUGGACGAUCAAGCUCGAUAAAGAACCGAACACAAUCAAGAUUCAAGAUUCAAGCUUCUGCGAAAUGAUUCUUCGUCACGUUUUUUUUAAUCGAAAAAUGUUUUAUGAAAUGUUGAGUUGUGUUAUUUCUUAAAGUUUUAAGAAAUGCAUAUUUUGUAAUG